rnacentral:lncRNA from 1 species
GGCCCAGCGGCGGAGGAAGCCCGUGGUUGCUAAGCGUUUUCGAGUCGGAAGCGCCCUCGUCCCUCAAGUGGUGUCGGAGCUUGCGGUCUUAGUUUCUUUCCUCGAAGUUUGCAUGGAUAGAGGCGAUACGUCUUACCCCAGCCGAUCUGAAGGAACGAGGUGUAGGACUACGGCAAGGGGCCGAGAAGGGGUUCACCAAACGGUUUUGGCUCAAAGCCGCCUGCGUUUCCGGGACUAGCCCUGCCGGCGAAGCAGCACCCUCGUCCCACGAGGCGGAGCUGACCGGCGGUCUGUGGGAUGGUACAAUACUAACUGGAAACCUGAGGGAGGCCUGUGAAGCAGUACGGAGAGAGACGGCUUCUCUUGGCUGCUGGAGAAUACUUCCUAAAGGAAUUGUAUUUGAAAAGGAUCUUGAAAGAUGAUUAGAAAGACCUGGGAUUGGGUCUGAGGAAAAUUCUGGCAGAGAAGAUAAAAAGAACCCACAAGUGCAAAACACGUUCGAUGAACCCACCCCUCCACCCGCCGCUGCUCUCUGGGCUCCAGUUCAGGAACAGUCAGCAACGCGGCCAAAGGAUAGGCCAAAGGAUAUUGACGUGUAAGGGGUGAGAGUGCCCGGGCUCAGUUCCUGGCUCUGGGACUCACUAGGUGUUGGACGGUGAGCAAAUUGUUUAUCAGAGUCCCAGGUUUCCCGACUGUAAAACAGGGAAAGGUUUUUGUUUUUUUGUUUUUAAGAUUUUACUUAUUCAUGAGAGAGACAGAGAGAGGUGGAGACAGAAGCAGGUUCCAUGCUGGGAGCCCGACGUGGGACGCGAUCCCAGGUCCCCAGGAUCACGCCCUGGGCCGAAGGAGGCGCUAAACCGCUGAGCCACCCGGGCUGCCCAAAAUAGGGAAAGUAUUACUGUUGUUCUGGGGGAUAACAGAUACUUCAUGCAUCCUGGCAUUUACAGUUGUUCAAGUAAUACAUAGCCAUAGGUUUGGAGUUUUUGUAAGAGCUUAAAUAUCAAGAUAGGUUUGUCAGAAGAGUACCUGUUGAGUACUCUUGAGAACGACAGGACAUCUGUUGAAAGCCUACUCCGCAGACUCAUUGUCAAGAUCCUACUAACUCCUGCUACUUUCCCUUCUUUCCCCCACAUCCUAUUCUUCUUAGUCUUCAGUAUUUCUCCAGAUUUUAAAAAGUUACUUUGACCUUGCAGACGAGGUAGCACGCCCCAUAACUUUCUUUUUUUAAAAGAUUUAAAAAAAAAUUUAUUCAUGAGAUACACACACAUGAGAGGCAGAGACACAGGCAGGGGGAGAAACAGGCUCCAUGCAGGGAGCCCGACAUGGGACUUGAUCCGGGAUCUUCAGGCCCUGGGCCUAGGGCGGCGCUAAACCACUGAGCCACCCGGGCUGCCUGCCUCUUUAUUUUCUAAUAUAGCUCAGCACUUCUGAGCACCCACCAUUUGAAGCCCAUCUCUUUUUUUUUUUUUUUAAUUUUUAUUUAUGAUUUAUCUCAGUCACACACAGAGAGAGAGGCAGAGACACAGGCAGAGGGAGAAGCAGGCUCCAUGCACCGGGAGCCCGAUGUGGGAUUCGAUCCCGGAUUUCCAGGAUCGCGCCCCUGGCCAAAGGCAGGCGCUAAACCGCUGCGCCACCCAGGGAUCCGAAGCCCAUCGGAAAUGAUAUGGACUAUCAUUUCCAUGAGGCCAGGGACCUUAUUUACGUUUAUUCACUGCAGUACCCUAGGAUCUAGCCACUGCCUGGCACAUAGUUGGUACUCAACUUUUUAGCAUGAGUUUUUGCUAAUUUUUUCUCUAAUCUCAGUUUCUUCAGGGUAGAAGGUAUGUCCAAUUUGUGGUUGUUGACCAGUGGUGCCUGGCACUUUCAUGUCUGUUCAAUAUGGUAUCAUGUUAAAAUAGAACUACUGGUCUAGUGAACUCUAUCUCUGGAGAAUAUGAUCUCUGUGAAUUAGUAAAAAUCGUGGAAAGCAUUACAGACUUCCCUUGACUGUGAAACUGUCACACAUUACAAACUAUGCCUAGAUUUCAGGUUAAGGGAGUUCCCAGUGACAUCUGAUAUACCCAAAAUUUUGCGUGUAUUUUUCAAAGAAAAGUUUUUGUAGCUUUCCUUGGAUUCUCCAAUGGUGUUUUCAUGCAACAGCCCUACCCUGCCUCACCCCACCCUACCCAAGGUGAAGAACGACAACUUUAGUCAAGUGAUUCUCUUCUCAGAACAUUAUAAAAGGAUUCGGUUUUGGGUUUUGCAUCAGUCUGGUCUCAUACUAUGUAGCUUCCAGAAGUUCCUCAGAAUUCCGGUAUAGAUUCCCAUGUUUCUAUUUCUUAAGUCAUUUUCAUCAGGUUUUGUGGCAAACAGGAUAUAAAAAUGUGGGUUUUAUCUGCCAUUUUUGAGAGGAGUCUUCCAGAGCGAUCUUUUUGUAAACAUUUUAUCUGAUGCCAUUUUCGUACCCUCAGGAUGAAAUCCAAAAGCCUAUCUAUCCUGGAAGAUCCUUGAUGGUAUGGCCUCUGCUUUCCAACCUCCCCAGCCCACAUAGAUCUUUUGUUAUUCACUCCUUAGUCCCCUGCAUGUAAUACUCCUCUAACAUUAGUUACGUGUGGUUCCAUGUUGCCCUACCCAUGGGAAUUUGCACAUUUAUUCAUUCAACAAAUAUUUACUGAAUGCUUUGUGUUGGUGUCCAGCAUUAUACUGCUCCCUAGGGAUAUAAUUAACAAAAAGAACUCCGUGUACUCAUGGAAUUUAUUUUCUACUUGGAAGAGGUAGGCAAUAAAUACACACUGUGUUCAGUGGUAAUAAAUUCAAUGAAAAUUAAGGUAAGAGGGAUUGAGAAUAGAGUGCAAAGAGUUAGAGACCUACCUUCCUUUUUGUUCACAAUGUAUACUUGUUUUAAUUUCUUCCUCCCUUGUGUACUCAGAAUCCUUGAUCACUUACUCCAUAUUAGACAAUGUAUGUUUUGAAAAAAACAGGCAGGAGAAAUAUUUAGUCCUACUUUACAGAUAAGAACUAAAGCUAAAAAAAACAAAAACAAAAA